rnacentral:rRNA from 1 species
GUGGGGAAUAUUCCGCAAUGGACGAAAGUCUGACGGAGCAACGCCGCGUGAGUGAUGAAGGUUUUCGGACUGUAAAGCUCUGUUGUUUAGGACGAAAGUGCCUGUUGCGAACAGUUACAGGUAUUGACGGUACUAAACGAGGAAGCCACGGCUAACUACGUGCCAGCAGCCGCGGUAAUACGUAGGUGGCAAGCGUUGUCCGGAAUUAUUGGGCGUAAAGAGCAUGUAGGCGGAGAUUUAAGUCUGUUGUGAAAAUGCGGGGCUCAACCCCGUAUUGCGAUAGAAACUGAAUUUCUUGAGUGCAGGAGAGGAAAGGGGAAUUCCCAGUGUAGCGGUGAAAUGCGUAGAUAUUGGGAGGAACACCAGUGGCGAAGGCGCCUUUCUGGACUGUGUCUGACGCUGAGAUGCGAAAGCCAGGGUAGCGAACGGGAUUAGAUACCCCUGUAGUCC